rnacentral:misc_RNA from 1 species
GAUGAAGAACGCAGCGAAAUGCGAUAAGUAAUGUGAAUUGCAGAAUUCAGUGAAUCAUCGAGUCUUUGAACGCACAUUGCGCCCCCUGGUAUUCCGGGGGGCAUGCCUGUCCGAGCGUCAUUGCUGCCCUCAAGCACGGCUUGUGUGUUGGGCCGCCGUCCCCGGUUUCCCCCGGGGACGGGCCCGAAAGGCAGCGGCGGCACCGCGUCCGAUCCUCGAGCGUAUGGGGCUUUGUCACCCGCUCUGUAGGCCCGGCCGGCGCCAGCCGACACCCAACUUUAUUUCUAAGGUUGACCUCGGAUCAGGUAGGGAUACCCGCUGAACUUAAGCAUAUCAAUAAGCGAGGA